rnacentral:rRNA from 1 species
UACGUAGGCAGCAAGCGUUGUUCGGAGUUACUGGGCGUAAAGGGUGCGUAGGUGGCUCUAUAAGUAUGGUGUGAAAUCUCCCGGCUUAACUGGGAGGGUGCGCCGUAGACUGUGGGGCUAGAGUGUGGGAGAGGAAAGUGGAAUUCCGUGGUGUAGCGGUGAAAUGCGUAGAUAUCAGGAGGAACACCGGUGGUGUAAACGGCUUUCUGGACCAUAACUGACACUGAGGCACGAAAGCGUGGGUAGCAAACAGG